rnacentral:lncRNA from 1 species
AUGAUGGGAACAAAAAAUGAUGUAUGUUUGAAUGAUGGAAGUGGUACAAGAAUAAAUAUUAGAGCUGGUACAGAAUCAGCAAUUGACCUCACAUUAGUGUCAGAUUCGUUAGCAGGUUUUUGUUCAUGGCAGGUAAUGAAAGAAACAACUAUUGGUAGUGACCAUUAUCCCAUAAUGACUGAACUUGAGAUGAAUAUAGAACAAUAUGAUACAGGGAAAGUACAAAAUUGGUGUUUUAGUAAGGCAGAUUGGGAAAAAUUUAAAAUUGUUUGUGACCAGGAAAUGGAAAAAAUAGACAUGAAUGUUGAUGUUGAUGCAUUAAAUUUUUCUGUUUGUAAUGCAGCUUUGAAGGCAGCAAACCAGGCAAUAAAGAAGAAAGUAGGUAAGGGAAGAAAGAAGAUGGUACCCUGGUGGACAAAGGAUUGUGAUGAAAUUAUUAAGGAUCGAAAUGAAGCUUUUAGAAUUUUAAAGAGGAUUCACUGUUUUGUUGAUUAUAUGGAAUAUAAAAAAUUACAGGCUAAGGUAAGAAGAACUGUUAAAAAUGCAAAGAAGGAGUAUUGGAGGGGCUUUUGUAAUUCUGUGGGGAGGGAGACAAAAAUACAAAAUGUUUGGUCAAUGAUUAAGAGAAUGAAUGGCAUAAGGAAAGAAUAUGGAUAUCCAAUAUUAAAUGAUGGUGUAGUAACAGCAGUAAAAGACGUAGAGAAGGCAAAUUUGUUAGCUAAGACAUUUGUUACAAUUCAUAGUUUAGAUAAUGUUAGUGAAGAAGGUCAAAGAGGCAGGGAAAAUACAUUUCUGGAAUAUAUAGAGUUAUUGGAACAGGAUGAAGAUAAUGAUAACUUGUUAAAUAUUUUAUUUACAAAAACAGAAUUAAAUCGAGUUUUACAAAAAUCCAAGGUAUCCGCACCAGGUAAAGAUCAGAUUUGUUAUAUUAUGAUAAACCAUUUUAGUGAUAAAGCUAAAGAAAUUUUAUUAGAAUUAUAUAACAGAGUUUGGGAGGGUGGGAUAUUGCCACAAAGCUGGAAGGAAGCAGUGGUUGUACCCAUAAGAAGACCAGGAAAAGAUAAUACCGAUCCAGGAAACUAUAGACCUAUAGCGUUAACAUCUAACAUUUGUAAGAUAAUGAAGUGCAUGAUAAAUGAAAGAUUAAUGUACUACAUUGAAAGUAAAGGAUACAUAUCUAACUGUCAAAGUGGUUUUAGAAGAGGAAGGAAUACGAUGGAUCCUGUUUUAUGUUUAGAACAGGAAGUUAGGAAAGCUCAAAUAAACAAAGAGAGUGUAGUUGUUGUAUUUUUUGAUGUUGAAAAGGCUUAUGAUACGAAGUGGAGAGAAGGCCUUUUAAUUAAAAUCAGAAAAAUGGACGAAUGUUUCAAUGGAUCAAGAACUUUUUAA